AACGCAAAAUUCACAGCCAUUAGCAACGUUAAAGCAUUCCUUUGAGGUUGAACCCGAAUUAAUUUGGGCGUUCUUGACCCAUGACCAUUGGGAUAUUGUUGUAAUAAAAUUAAAAGAGGUUUUUUUUUUCCUUUUUUCUUUUUAUUUUUUUUUUGGUGGACUGGAGAAUAAUUUAUUUGCCAUUGAUCUUGGGUGCAGCAUCUCAUCUGUUGAAUAAAUUUUUUUAUUUAUUUCUAAGGGUUUACCUUCGUGUGCCCGUAUGGGGGAUGGUGCAAUGAUCAGCGGUACAUUU
rnacentral:snoRNA from 1 species